rnacentral:rRNA from 1 species
UGGGGAAUCUUGCACAAUGGGGGAAACCCUGAUGCAGCGACGCCGCGUGAGCGAUGAAGUCCUUCGGGAUGUAAAGCUCUUUCGACGGGAACGAUAAUGACGGUACCCGGAGAAGAAGCUGCGGCUAACUACGUGCCAGCAGCCGCGGUAAUACGUAGGCAGCGAGCGUUGUUCGGAAUUACUGGGCGUAAAGAGUGUGUAGGCGGUUUGGUAAGUUUGGUGUGAAAUCUCCCGGCUUAACUGGGAGGGUGCGCCGAAAACUGCCAGACUAGAGUGCCGGAGAGGAAAGCGGAAUUCCUGGUGUAGCGGUGAAAUGCGUAGAUAUCAGGAGGAACACCGGUGGUGUAGACGGCUUUCUGGACGGCCACUGACGCUGAGACACGAAAGCGUGGGGAGCAAACAGGAUUAGAUACCCGCGUAGUCC